rnacentral:rRNA from 1 species
UACAGAGGUCUCAAGCGUUGUCCGGAAUCAUUGGGCGUAAAGCGUGUAGGCGGCCCGGUAAGUCCGCUGUGAAAGUCGGGGGCUCAACCCUCGGAUGCCGGUGGAUACUGUCGGGCUCGAGUACGGAAGAGGCGAGUGGAAUUCCUGGUGUAGCGGUGACAUGCGCAGAUAUCAGGAGGAACACCUAUGGCGAAGGCAGCUCGCUGGGACGGUAUUGACGCUGAGACGCGAAAGCGUGGGGAGCGAACAGG